rnacentral:lncRNA from 1 species
ACACUCUAACUCCCACCUCACACAUGAAACUUGCAAUUUUCCCCAUAACCCCCUAUUCUUCUUUUCCACUCGCAAGCAGACCCUCCUUCUUCAACCCUGGGACAGAUCGCACAGAACACAGGUAUGUCACGCAUGGGGGCGCACAACCCAUCGGGGAGAGGGGGAAACAGCGUGGCGGUGCUAGGGGAAGGACAGCAGUGCCAUGCCCAGGCCAGGGGAACUCCUUGGCGUGGCACAGGUAGGGAGGAAGGGGGCAGCGCAUGGGGGCUCCGCGUGGCGGCGGCGAGCGCCGUCGAAAUGCCCUAGAACGAGCAUGGAAACUUAGAUAUCGUGAACAAUAAACGGGAGCAUCAUGAUUAGGAGCUCACCUAGGGCCUAUUUGAGGUGUUGGUUAGCGACGAGGGAGGCCGGAAGGAGGGGCUCCAUGGAGAGGUAGAGCCGGUGGUGGAAAAGUUCCUGGAACUUUGGGGGAACUUCGAUUCCCGUCGAUUUGGUGGACGAUUGAUGGAGAGGAGAGGCUGAGGGUGUAGCCAAGGAAGUGGAGCCACUCUGGGCGAGAGGAAUCGAAGGGGGAUGGAGGGAGAUGGGAGGAAUCGAUGACGAACUGAGAGAAGCUCGGAAGGGCAACAAUGGAGGAAAGCUCGAUUUUGGGGAGGCUAUGGCUUGGAGGGGGCCUGAUUUAUGGACGGGGGAGGGUGAGGAUAAGGAUGGCGAGGUGAUAAGGGUGACAAAGAACUAGGGGCGGCCAUUGUAGGAGAGGGAGCUGCCCGUGGUCAACGGACUGGCGGCGGCAAUGGCAUGGAGGACAGGGUGCUGCCCAAUCGGGUGCAAGGAGAGGCGUGGGGAGGAAGGGAGGGCACAUGGGAGGAUGCUUGGGCAGCCUAUGGGCAGAGGAGGAGCC